UACGGAGGGGGCUAGCGUUGUUCGGAAUUACUGGGCGUAAAGCGCACGUAGGCGGAUCAGUCAGUUAGGGGUGAAAUCCCGGGGCUCAACCCCGGAACUGCCUUUAAUACUGCUGGUCUGGAGUCCGAGAGAGGUGAGUGGAAUUCCGAGUGUAGAGGUGAAAUUCGUAGAUAUUCGGAGGAACACCAGUGGCGAAGGCGGCUCACUGGCUCGGUACUGACGCUGAGGUGCGAAAGCGUGGGGAGCAAACAGG
rnacentral:rRNA from 1 species